rnacentral:rRNA from 1 species
GACGAACGCUGGCGGUGUGCCUAAUACAUGCAAGUCGAACGAACCGCGAUUAGGUGCUUGCACUUGGUCAAGGUGAGUGGCGGACGGGUGAGUAAAACGUGGGUAACUUACCUCAUAUGGGGGGAUAAGAGUGGGAAACGACUGGUAAUACCGAUUAGGACAUAGGAUGACAUGAUGCAGUGAGGAGAGGUGGCGCCAGCUAUCGCUCAGAGAUGUAACCGCUGUGCAUUAGCUAGUUUGUAGGGUAAAGGCCUACCAAGGCGAUGAAGCAUAGCCGACCUGAAAGGGAUAUCGGCCACAUUGGGACUGAGACACGGCCCAAACUCCUACGGGAGGCAGCAGUAGGGAAUCUUCCGCAAUGGACGCAAAUCUGACGGAGCAACGCCGCGUGAGUUAAGAAGGUCUUCGGAUCUUAAAGCUCUGUUGUUAGAGAAGAAAAGCGCAUAGAGUAACUGUUAGGCGUGUGACGGUAUCUAACCAGAAAGCCACGGCUAACUACGUG